UCUGGUCUCAAAUCAGGUAGGAUCAC
rnacentral:ncRNA from 2 species